rnacentral:rRNA from 1 species
GACGAACGCUGGCGGCGUGCUUAACACAUGCAAGUCGAACGGAAAGGCCCUGGUUUGCUGGGGUGCUCGAGUGGCGAACGGGUGAGUAACACGUGGGUAACCUGCCCUGCACUUUGGGAUAACUUCGGGAAACUGGGGCUAAUACCGGAUAGGACCACCUGCUGCAUGGUGUGGGGUGGAGAGUUUCGGCGGUGGGGGAUGGACUCGCGGAUUAGCAGGUUGGUGGUGGGGUAGUGGCUUACAAAGGCUUCGACGUGUCGGCGGCCUGAGAGGGUGCGCGGCCACUGUGGGAGUGAGACAGCGCCCACACCUCCAGGGGGCGGAGCAGGGGAGUAUAGUGCACUAUGGGCGGGCGUCUUGCGGAGCCACGCCGUGUGCGGGAUGAGGCCUCGCGUUUUGUAAACCGCUCUCGCCUGUGAAGGCGCGUUAGUGACGGUAACUGGUAAAGAAGCACCGGCUAACUACGUG